UUGUGCCAUAAUUUUUUGAUGCCAUCUUUCUCUAAGCAAAAAUAGUUUUUGCAUCAAUUUUUUUCAUUCCAAAGAGUCAUUUCCCUUCUCUAUCUCACAUCCAAAUUUGGAUAGGAUCUAUUUUUAAAUGGUAUAUUCAAAUCUAAUUUGAAAUUGGAUACCUUAAAGAUAAUGUUUUACAUUAUCUACAACCUCUCCAUGCCAACUUAUUUUUUUCUCCUUAUGUGUGCAACAUUUUGAGAAGAUUUCUUAUAAAAAAUUAGUUGGAGAAUUGAUUUAUCAUAAAAAAAUAUGAAAAGGAGUGUUCCAUAUUUUUUUGGGCAUG
rnacentral:lncRNA from 1 species